AGAGGUCCUCUGCGGCCGAGGUGGAACGCUUGCCUCGUCGCUGCAGCGACAAAGCAAGCAUUCCGCCAGGCUGCUCACAUUGCCUGC
rfam:Myotis davidii contig20211, whole genome shotgun sequence.